GGGAUGGGGUGACUAGUGACAGAGUGAGGAAGGGGGUGACUAGGGACAGAGGGGGUGACUAGUGACAGAGUGAGGGGGUGACUAGUGACAGUCACCCCUUCCCUCUCUCUGUCACUAGUCACUCCCUCCCUCUGUCACCAGUCACUCCCUCCCUCUGUCACCAGUCACCUCUUCCCUCUCUCACUUUGCCACUAGUCAUCUCUUCCCUCCC